UUGUGCAGAAAGGCGCGCUCGUAAAGUUCACCUGUCGAAAUACGCCCCCCCCCUCACUCGUUGUGCUACCUUGCUUGUCGACGCUUGUCUGAAUUCUGUGGCGCGGGUAGUUUCAUCGCUUCUUGACCUGUUCAGUCAAAAAGUAGCGAGUUACGACCGCCAGGCAGUCGGCGGCAAGCGCUCGGCCCACGCCUACGCUUGUCUUUGGUGCCGAUCUCGCUGGGUGCAACAGCACUUGCUGGGAGCACCUGUCCGAUCUGUGGGCGGCGCGGAGCGUGCUUCAACCAUCCCGGAGGCCCUCGCCCAGCUUCUGUCGUCAGGAGGUAAUCACUGACUGCAAGAUAGCCCACUAGUUGGGAAGCCUGCUCAUCUGCAACGUCCAGGAGGAUAAAGCCUCGUCCGCGCAGCAGCUUCUUCGCAGUCAGCGGCAAGCGCUCGGCACAAGCUUACGCUUGUCUUUGGUGCAGGGCACUGAAUGAGAGCAUGGAGCACUGUCAGACUAUUGCCGCACUUACUACAGGUUGGUGGAUCGCCCCCAGUCGAGAGAUAAGCGGUGAAACAAGGUCCAGGAGGAAGCCACAGGCAAGGCACAGCCGGCGCACAGUACCACCGAGAUAAUGCGUGCGCACUCUUCUUCUUUCUCUGCCUCAGUCGCGCAGUGCUGCGGCAACAUAAACAGAAAAAGGCAGUGCGUGAGGGCAAGAACGUACAUGGAAAGAGUGACGCACGUACUGUUCUGUGUACUGCUAUUCUUCUAGUGUAUGCAUUAUUUGCAUUUCAAAAACAAAAAUAAUUUUCUUAUUUAGCAGCAGUCAUCUUCAAUCUUGAUUGAGAAUUUACUGCAUAUAGUGCAGCUUACUUGAUCACCAGAGCUCUUGUUCCGUUUAAGGCAUAUAUGUGGGUCCUGUAGGCUUGUGCAAACUUUAGUUGAGCAUGUGCCAUUGAGAGUAUGUGCACAUGUCUAAAACCAUUUACAGUAAACUCUCAGCUGUUUAACAAAUAUUUCGGAAUAACUAACUUUUAGAAAAUUCCUGGCGGGUUUCCUAUGCAUUCUAUGCAAAUAUCUUUCAGUUGAAUGAAAUCAUCAGUAGCGAAUAUAUUUCAGUUGAACGAACUUGACGCUCCUGGCGAACAGUAACACCAGCUACAAUUAGAAAGUGCAGGCGUAAAUACGGCCUUUCCUUUCGGUGCAGUUAAAGUGAGCAAGAGGAACAGCGAGACGAGGUGAUCGACCCCCGAAUGUGGACAGACGUCUUUUGCCAGCUAGAUGUGGACAAAGACACUUCGUGUGAAACCUAUGUGCAAUAUUAAAUUAUGGGUUCUUACGUGCCAAAA